rnacentral:rRNA from 1 species
GAUUAACGCUAGCGGCAGGCAUAAUACAUGCAAGUUGAACGGCAGCACAGGUAGCAAUACUGGGUGGCGAGUGGCGCACGGGUGCGUAACACGUAUGCAACCUACCCUAUACAGGCGAAUAACCUUUAGAAAUGAGGGCUAAUACGCCGUAGUAUUACAGAUGGGCAUCUAUUUGUAAUUAAAGAUUUAUCGGUAUAGGAUGGGCAUGCGUCCCAUUAGUUAGUUGGUAAGGUAACGGCUUACCAAGACGAUGAUGGGUAGGGGAUCUGAGAGGACUUACCCCCACACUGGUACUGCGACACGGACCAGACUCCUACGGGAGGCAGCAGUAAGGAAUAUUGGGCAAUGGCCGCGAGGCUGACCCAGCCAUGCCGCGUGCAGGAAGACGGCCUUAUGGGUUGUAAACUGCUUUUAUACGGGAAUAAUAGAGUGUACGCGUACAUUUAUGCAAGUAUCGUAUGAAUAAGCAUCGGCUAACUCCGUG